rnacentral:rRNA from 1 species
CAGCAGCCGCGGUAAUACGAAGGGGGCUAGCGUUGCUCGGAAUGACUGGGCGUAAAGGGCGCGUAGGCGGCGGCCAAAGUCAGGCGUGAAAUUCCCGGGCUCAACCUGGGGGCUGCGUUUGAUACUUGGUCGCUUGAGUGGGGAAGAGGGUCGUGGAAUUCCCAGUGUAGAGGUGAAAUUCGUAGAUAUUGGGAAGAACACCGGUGGCGAAGGCGGCGACCUGGUCCUUUACUGACGCUGAGGCGCGAAAGCGUGGGGAGCAAACAGGAUUAGAUACCCCGGUAGUCCCUGUCUCUUAUAC